rnacentral:rRNA from 1 species
CCCAUAAGACUGGGAUAACUCCGGGAAACCGGGGCUAAUACCGGAUAACAUUUUGAACCGCAUGGUUCGAAAUUGAAAGGCGGCUUCGGCUGUCACUUAUGGAUGGACCCGCGUCGCAUUAGCUAGUUGGUGAGGUAACGGCUCACCAAGGCAACGAUGCGUAGCCGACCUGAGAGGGUGAUCGGCCACACUGGGACUGAGACACGGCCCAGACUCCUACGGGAGGCAGCAGUAGGGAAUCUUCCGCAAUGGACGAAAGUCUGACGGAGCAACGCCGCGUGAGUGAUGAAGGCUUUCGGGUCGUAAAACUCUGUUGUUAGGGAAGAACAAGUGCUAGUUGAAUAAGCUGGCACCUUGACGGUACCUAACCAGAAAGCCACGGCUAACUACGUGCCAGCAGCCGCGGUAAUACGUAGGUGGCAAGCGUUAUCCGGAAUUAUUGGGCGUAAAGCGCGCGCAGGUGGUUUCUUAAGUCUGAUGUGAAAGCCCACGGCUCAACCGUGGAGGGUCAUUGGAAACUGGGAGACUUGAGUGCAGAAGAGGAAAGU